GACGAACGCUGGCGGCGUGCUUAACACAUGCAAGUCGAACGGAUCUUCUUGUUGUAGUAAUACAGCGGGUUGGUUAGUGGCGAACGGGUGAGUAACACGUGAGAAACCUGCCCUGAAGACGGGGAUAACUGACCGAAAGGUCUGCUAAUACCCGAUGUCCUCAUUUGAUCGCAUGGUUGGGUGAGGAAAUGGAUUCCGCUUUAGGAGGGUCUCGCGGGCUAUCAGCUUGUUGGUGAGGUAAUGGCUCACCAAGGCGACGACGGCUAGCUGGUCUGAGAGGACGACCAGCCACACUGGGACUGAGACACGGCCCAGACUCCUACGGGAGGCAGCAGUGGGGAAUCUUGCGCAAUGGGCGAAAGCCUGACGCAGCAACGCCGCGUGU
rnacentral:rRNA from 1 species